UUAGACAAAUUUGGACUAAAAUUGACUUGCCCAGUUGCCCUAACUAUUCGACAGCCUCUAUUCUUCCUCUUCGUUCUACACCGACUCCUCGCUCUAUUCCUCCUCUUCAUCCUCUUGGUUCUUUGAAUCCAAGCAGAACUCGACACCUCGUCCUCCAUCUUGUUCGAGUCAGGCCAGCUCUUGUUCCUCCUCUUCGUUCUACGCCUCCUCUUCGCUCUAUUCCUCCUCUUCAUCAUCUUGGUUCUUCGAAUCCAAGCAGAACUCGACGCCUCGUCCUCCAUCUUUUUCGAGUCAGGCCAGCUCUUGUACGUGCUCGAAGACAGUGAACAGCAUCGGUUCCUCAAGGCCGCCGUUUCGGAGAAACUUUGAGCUUUUGAGUCAUAGGAAUUGUGUUUCAUCUACAGAGUUAUUCUUCAUUCAGCUGGGCAAAGUUUGAAGCUUCCAUGACCAUGUAACUGGAGCUUUCUAGGCAUUCUUUAUCUCUGGUACCUGUAAAGUAUUUGAUUGGGCUUGAAAGGAAAAGCGCAAGACAAGUGUUCUUGGUUCGUCUUUCUUGGAGCAUGUUAAGGAGAUAUUGGAACCUGAUACUUUUAUUGCUGCAGCGCCUUGGGUGUACUACCCAAUAAUUGAAAAGUAUUCAAUAUAUUUGACAUAAUCUUCUAUUGUAACAGGCUCUUCAGCGCUUCCAAACCGAGCAUGGAAAAGGGUUUCCGACUCAUUUCUCCCAGAUAGGGGCUCCUGACUUCUAUACCAUUCAAAGGCCGACAAGGUUGGAAAAAGCUUCAUUUUUUUUAUCACUGCUCUGAACAAGACAGCAAGCUUCAAGGAUGCUAUAAACACAGACAUGCCAAAGUACUGCAACCAUCAAGUAAAGAUGCGGCCUCAAGUAAGGCCUUGAUUAGAAUUUGAUCUAAUUCAAACUCACCGUAUUUGAUUCCUUAUUGAUUGUUAUGGGACAAGUUUCUUCAUCACGCCCUCAGCCAUCGAAUGAUGGCCAGGAACCAUCCCGUGUCCAUGCACCCAAUGCAGAAAGGCAAAGUACAAAUACCUCUCAAGGAGAGAGGAGACAAUCAGUGAGUUCUUCAGAAGCUAUUUUAUCGCAGUCUCACCCACUGGAUGAAGAUCAGGUUAAUUUGCAUGAUACAUUGUUUCGUUUGUUACAUGUAAACAAUUGAUGGAAAGCUUCAUAGCAGGGAUUUGGGAUUUUAGGAGCUGAUGAAAUGCUUAGUUUGUACCUGUAUUAAUGCAAGAUGAAUAUUGGUUGCCGGUGUUAUUUCAAAAAAGAAUUACAUGUGAAUUUCAAAGGCUUAUGAGGUUAUUGAAAGUUUCACCUCCUCAACUGUUAACUCCUUACAAACGUGGUCGUAAAUUUCACUUUGUCAGUCCAUUUAAGUAAUGUUGUACGUCUGAAACAAAUUGUAGGUACCCCCUACAGAGGGAGAAAAGAGUAGUUGACAUCACUAAUCUGCUAUAACAUUGGUUGUUUGUAACGUGUUAUAGCAGAUAAGGCUGAAGGUUAACCUUAUCUGCUAUUUGCAAUAUCAAACCCAGACAAAAGAGUAUGGGGUAAGAAUUAGCAAUAUCAAACCCAGAGAAAAAGAGUAUGGGGUUUAUCACUGCAGUGUUCGACUAGAAGAACAAGAGGACUGAUAGAUUUGGGUUUGGUUUGGAGAGUAAACGAUUGCAGGUUUGGAAAUCCUAUUUUCCUGCUGUGUUCUUCUUCUUUUAGUUUUGUUUGUGCUGAGGUUAGAGAUAUAGGCAUUUGAUUUAGUCUCUGCUGAUUGGUAUCCUCUUUUCAAAAUUUCUACUUUGCUUUUGAUUACUUUGAACAACCCUAUAUCUUCUAUUGUGGUCAUGGUUGAUUAUUGUUGGCAUUUCAGUUUUCAAUUGGGCAUGCCUUCUCAGAGUUAUUUUGGGCCUUUGGUUCCUUAGCAUUGUGUGAGUUACCCGAACCAUUGAAUAUAUAAGAAGGAUCUCCACCACUGUUUCAAUUGCAGAAACCUCCAGCCUCCAUCAAGGUCAACAUCUGCUUUUAGCCGAUAACAAGCUUAGACAUGAAAGUCAACAUCAUGAAAGGCUUGCUCCGAAAGGACCGAAACUCAAGUUUUGGGAGAAAUCUGAAAAAAGAAGGUUGUACUCAUAGCUGAAACAGAGCAGGUUUGAUCUUUAAUAGAACUAUCUUUUUUGACUUUCCGAUGCAAAUGUGUUCCAGGUGAAGGGAGGGGAGCAGAAGGUUAUGUCGUACAUUUUCAAUGAAAUUUCCUUCAAACCACCCUUACCAAUAAACAAUUUGUCUUAAGUCUUAACUUUAUGAUAUUAAUAGUCUAUUUACAAUGCAUAUUUUGCACAUUUGCAGACCCCGUAUCACGAAGUAUGUGAAAGACCCUUAAUAGUAUACUUAUAUAAUUUCACGUUGCCCUGCAUUACAUAAAGAGGGGCAAAACUCCGAGGCUCUUAUUCGGAUUAAAAGCGUAGCUCAGUACCUUUAUUUGAGAAGGAACCCAUCCAUGUUCAGAGAUGAGAGUUCUCCGCCAGUCUACUGGUGAUAACCAUUUGAUUUUGCACUUGGGAAUAAAUUUUCUGAUAGCUGAUGAUAUGCUUGGAAUACUUGCUGUCAAGCUAAAGAAAGGAUCGGCUUUGGCUUUGUGGGCAGUGAAGACUCGGAAAGUAUACACCCAAGAUGAACUUGACGAGGUCCGCAUUGAAGUAGAUGACUAUUUGCAGACUUUGCUAUAGAUGCUGACUCUACCAAAGUGAUUUUGAGUAAGGCUAGCUAGAUUUUGUAGAAUCAUUUUGAAGUAGAACGUUGUACAGUUGCAGGUGAACUAAACUGCAUAUAGUUAUUGCAAUGGUCUAUUUUGGGCUA